UCACGACUUCUGGUCAUAAUAAACUUCGGAACGCAUGCAGUGGCUCUUUGCUGAUUGCUGAAGCUCUUACGUUGUGCGAACGCUGAAGCAGAAUACUUUGAUUUUUUUAUGGUUUUAAGGUUGGAUGUAUUUUAGAGAGUUAUUAAAAUGCCGGGUAGAUGCUGUGUACCAUUAUGUAAGGGAAACUACCCAACAGGACCAAAAGUGUCUGUAUUCUCCUUUCCUAAAAAUGAAGAUUUGAAGAGAGAGUGGCUUUCUGCAAUCCAACGGAAAGACUUUUCACCCAAAAAGAGUUCAAAGGUAUUCAUAACGAAGAAAGGAGUGUUUUUAUCAUGAAAUGGCUCUCAGGUGUAAAAAUGCAUAGGAUAUAUCUUAGUUUAUUGAAGUUAAGAAUUGGUGCUUUGUGGACUAAAAAAUAUGUGCAAUAUCCAUUGUCACACCACUCUGUUCAAGAAUAUCGAUCAGUCCUGAAUGAUAAAGAAAAUGAUUAACAAAGGAAUAUCUAGAACUUGAUUGUGUGCAUGAUUUAAUUCCAAAUAUAAGUAUUGGAAUAAUUCAUCCUCCUUAUUUUCAACAAAAACUCUUCAUUUGGUAAUAUACAUUUGUGCUUAUCAGUGUGGUGUCUUGUGUAACAAAUCGUCAGUAUUAUAAAAUAGAUGGAAAGAUCUUUGAUUAUUGCAAGAGCUUUAUGUGCU
rnacentral:misc_RNA from 1 species